rnacentral:lncRNA from 1 species
CUCAUUCUAGUUACUUUAUAAUUUAAAAUGCAAUUAAAUCUCAUGUAUUAAGUAAUGGUCAGAGUUUACCACUGCAUAAUUAUUUCAUUAAAUACAAUAAAUAGUAAUUUAAGAAAAUAUGGCAUAUGUUACUAAUAAGUAACUAUUAUGUAUGUUUGAAAGAAUAUCAUAUUUUACAAUGCUCUCUAGUUCGCAACUUUCCGGUGACAAUGAGGAUGGCGAAACCCACCCCGAUAAUGACAGAAAUACCAAAAAAGUGAGGUUCAAAGAUAAUCUUGUUGAAGAUGAUAUAUCCAUGGAUGGGGAUCCAGCCCCAGAAGAAAAUUUGUCAUGGAAAGACAAACUUUUGGGGGGCUCUUCGGGUGAACUUAGUCCAAAUCGCAUUGCUUUUUCUGAAGGGAGUGAUAUUGAUUUUGAGUUACUUGAAGGGGACGUUAAUAAAACUAUCCUUGAUGGUGUUCCGGCUAUCUCUUUCUCUGAUCGCUUAAAAAAUAUCCUGUUUAAAGAAAUGGAGCUAACGAUCAUUGUCAAAUUGUUAGGGCGUAACAUUGGUUACAACGCUUUACACAAUCGAAUUUUCUCUCUUUGGAAACCAAUGAAAUCUAUUCGUAUAAUGGAUACCAUCAACGGGUAUUACCUUGUUAAAUUUCAGGCCGUUGAGGAUUAUAACAGAGUCUUAUCGCAAGGACCUUAGACUGUUUACGGCCAAUAUUUGACAGUGCAACCUUGGACCAAGCAUUUCAGUCCAGAGCAACCCUAUCCUAGCAUGGUGCUAGCCUGGAUUCGUUUGCCGAAUCUCCCGGGACAUCUCUACAAAAGAAAGAUAAUAGAGGCUAUUGAAAGUCUCAUUGGAAAAGUCGUCAAACUCGACGUUCAGACGGAUAAUCAAACCAGAGGAAGAUUCGCGCGUUUAGCCGUCUAUAUUAACUUGAUAGAACCUUUGAUUUCUCAGGUUCUAGUUGAUGGAGUAGUUCAGCAAGUGGAAUACGAAUCCUUCCCGACUGUCUGUUUCUCUUGCGGCAAAUACGGGCACGUUAAAGAUUUGUGCCCACUAUCUGAAACGGAACAAAAUCGGCCAGUACCUCUAGGUGAGCCGGCGACGGUGGUAGGUGACACAAAUAAAGGCAAGUCGGACGGCGUCUCUUCAGCUAACGGAACCGGAGGAAAAUAGGCAGAUUUUGGGCCAUGGAUAUUAGUAGAGAAGCGAUAUUCUCGGCGGGGGAAGAAGGAUUCUCUAGCGGAAAUCACGGGGAAAUAAAAAAAUCAGGCUUUAGGGUCUCGAUUCUCGACGUUGAUGGGGGAGGAGGAUCUUUGUGAUGAAAGGAGAUCUUCGGAUGGAGGAGAUUUAGGGGGGCUAAUAGAAAGGAGGGUGGUGCUCAAAUUAAUCUUAAAUCUAGGGUUAAUCAAGAGAAUGGGGAGUUUCUUUCUAACAAGGCCGGACAUGUAGGUGGAAUUGUGGGCCUUACUAAUGGGUCUGAUAGGGGCAUGGAAGUGGGUAGAGUCUCUUUACAAG